UAACACAUGCAAGUCGAACGAUGAUCCCCAGCUUGCUGGGGGGAUUAGUGGCGAACGGGUGAGUAACACGUGAGUAACCUGCCCUUGACUCUGGGAUAAGCCUGGGAAACUGGGUCUAAUACCGGAUAUGACCAUUCCGCGCAUGCGGUGGUGGUGGAAAGCUUUUGCGGUUUUGGAUGGACUCGCGGCCUAUCAGCUUGUUGGUGGGGUAAUGGCCUACCAAGGCGACGACGGGUAGCCGGCCUGAGAGGGUGACCGGCCACACUGGGACUGAGACACGGCCCAGACUCCUACGGGAGGCAGCAGUGGGGAAUAUUGCACAAUGGGCGAAAGCCUGAUGCAGCGACGCCGCGUGAGGGAUGACGGCCUUCGGGUUGUAAACCUCUUUCAGUAGGGAAGAAGCGAAAGUGACGGUACCUGCAGAAGAAGCGCCGGCUAACUACGUGCCAGCAGCCGCGGUAAUACGUAGGGCGCAAGCGUUAUCCGGAAUUAUUGGGCGUAAAGAGCUCGUAGGCGGUUUGUCGCGUCUGCUGUGAAAGACCGGGGCUCAACUCCGGUUCUGCAGUGGGUACGGGCAGACUAGAGUGAUGUAGGGGAGACUGGAAUUCCUGGUGUAGCGGUGAAAUGCGCAGAUAUCAGGAGGAACACCGAUGGCGAAGGCAGGUCUCUGGGCAUUAACUGACGCUGAGGAGCGAAAGCAUGGGGAGCGAACAGGAUUAGAUACCCUGGUAGUCCAUGCCGUAAACGUUGGGCACUAGGUGUGGGGGACAUUCCACGUUUUCCGCGCCGUAGCUAACGCAUUAAGUGCCCCGCCUGGAG
rnacentral:rRNA from 1 species